GCUUUCUAAACAUGCAUAACGAGCUUAAAAUAGGUCGAGGUGUCCCAGAUGAAGCGCCUGUGCUGCGUGUGUUAAGAAUGGGAUUAUUUUUCCCACGACACUACUUUUUAUGAAUGAGAGUUCUUUUGAGCAUCACAGGUAUUGUGUAGAACAAAAGAAGUGCCGUUUCCGCUGGAAAUACUAGCGUAGUAAUUAACAGGAGUACGUAAACAAUAGCGUGUCCCACAAUUAAGCAUUGAUGCGCCUCAAGCGUCGACACGAUCAAUCGCCGGCAAUCUUGCACAAAAACCUCAUUUAAUCUGUUUUUUGUGAUCUUUUGUGAAUCAACAACCCAUCAGGUACGUAGAUAUUUCAUUAUUCUACUGAAAUUUAAGCUUAUUACAAAUAAGUUUGAUUGCAAUAUCCUAAUCGAAGUGCUUUUUUUAUUACGAGGUUACUAAAUUUAACCAUUCAAUCAUGACGUCACGUGAAGCGUCUUGAACACAAUUUAGUCUUAAAUCGUAAAGUUAAUCAAUUUUAAAGCCUGUUACUAAACAAAAAGUUUAUAUUUCUAAAACAAUUAUGUUGAUGUAAUAGUAGACGUGUGUAGGGAUUUAAAAUAAUUAAUUUGUUUUUAUUUUGAGAAGUAAAUUGGAUUAGGCGUUGAGGCGCUCCAUGGGACCCCGUGCUGGUGUUUUCCAUGCAUAAAUUAUGGCGUCACAUGUAGCGUCUAAUGCGAGUUCAGGAUUUGUUACGUUUUCUGUAUUCAUGGAAGUUUUAAUUAAGAUUAAAUGAUUUUAAUAUAUAUUUCAGUAAUGGAGUAUCUGUUAGAGUUUCAAGGCGUCUACAAGCCAAGAAAGACUCUAAAUUUACAAGCGUCAAAGCCUGAGUCUCUAACACGUGUUGCUGUUUUAGAGCAGAGAGAAAAGGAAAGGUUGAGAAAAGCUGCAUACAGGGCCUAGUUAAGCCCACAUGAAAAAGCUUGGAUAAACAGAAAACGCAAAGAAAGAAAACAGCAAGCUAAUAGUCCACUUAAUGUCAUCUCAGCAGAGGUUGGUGAAUCACUAGGUACUGGAUUCCAGACUCCAGUGGCAAAAAGAAUGGCUGUUUCAAGGGCUUUGAUGAAAUUGCCUAGGUCACCCAAGAAAUAUGCUGCAGUUUUUGAUGGUCUCACACAAAUAUGCUCCCCAAGAAAAAGUAAAGCUGUCCAUGACAUACGCUUUCUGCGCCUACCUGAGAGAAGAAAGCUCAUCCUUCUAAACAACAUUAAAGAAAGUAUCAAAACCUAACUACACUCCACCAGCAAAAAAAAAAGUCAGAUGUCUAGUGCUCAUAGACAAGUACUCUGCAGUAUCCUUAGUAAGUACAACAAACUCAGAGGUUGUGCUACUCAUUUCUAACAUUUGGUCAAGAAGUUUUAUGUCCAA